rnacentral:rRNA from 1 species
CCCCCAAGGAAGGCAGCAGGCGCGCAAAUUACCCAAUCCCGACACGGGGAGGUAGUGACAAUAAAUACUGAUACAGGGCUCUUUUGGGUCUUGUAAUGUGGAAUGAGUACAAUUUAAAUCCCUUAACGAGGAACAAUUGGAGGGCAAGUCUGGUGCCAGCAGCCGCGGUAAUUCCAGCUCCAAUAGCGUAUAUUAAAGUUGUUGCAGUUAAAAAGCUCGUAGUUGAACCUUGGGCCUGGCUGGCCGGUCCGCCUCACCGCGUGCACUGGUCCGGCCGGGCCUUUCCUUCUGGGGAGCCGGAUGCCCUUCACUGGGUGUGUCGGGGAACCAGGACUUUUACUUUGAAAAAAUUAGAGUGUUCAAAGCAGGGCCUAUGCUCGAAUACAUUAGCAUGGAAUAAUAGAAUAGGACGUGUGGUUCUAUUUGUGGUUUCUAGGACCGCCGUUAAUGAUUAAUAGGGGAUAGUCGGGGGCAUCAGGUAUUCCAAUUGUCCAGGAGGUUGGAAAAUUCUUGGAUUUAUUGGAAGGACUAACUACUGGGAAAGCUUUUGCCAAAGGAUGGUUUUCAUUAAUCAGUGGACGAAAAGUUAAGGGGGAUCG